rnacentral:lncRNA from 1 species
CUUUCUGUGUGGAGAAUCCAGAUUUAUUCAACUCGAGGUCCCUGGAAAGUUCGGGAAACUCCUUGGCUGCUGCCUGUAGCUCUGGGUUCUGUAUCCUUGUUCUACAGAGACUGACAAGAUCCGGUCACUAACAACCACCAAGACACAGACAGAUCUGUGCUGCAAACCACGUAGCUAUUUAUUCUAGCCAGACUUGUAUAAGACAAGGCAAAUGAAAGCCCUUUGGCCUAAAUAGCUGUUUCUCAAGAUGCUCUGACACAGGGAGGCCUCCGUCUGUCAGUACAGUAUUUACUUAAACACCUUACCUGUCCACUUCUAACUCUGCCCCGCAAGUCUCAAGGGGACAGGAAAAAAAAACAAAAACAAAAACAAAAACAAAAACAAAAAUAAGUUUCAAACCAAUCCAUCUGCUUUCCAUUUCCUGCAGAAUGCUAAAAGAAGUCUUUCUAAGGCUGCUUAAAAUAUGUCCUGUCCUCUGGCCCGCCCCUUCAGAGAGCUCACUGUGUCCUCAGACCACCUCAGCCACUUCCUCCCACACCUGGGGCUGUCUCUUUGCGCAUGCUCUCUUUGAACAAUGCUCACAGUUAUUUCAGGCACUGGCCUUAGGUUUUCCGAAUUCAAAGGCACCUUUUUCCUCUUCUGUUCAGAGCACUUCCUCUGUCUCCUCCUUUGCCCCUUUCUUUCUUUCUUUCUUUCUUUCUUUCUUUCUUUCUUUCUUUCUUUCUUUCUUUCUUUCUUUCUCUUUUUCUUUUUUUUUUUUUUUUUUUUUUUUUGCAAAUGACCACUAUCAACAUUGGAGAGUGCCUGGUUCACUGGAGUCUGGGAAAUGACCUUGGCAGGAUGUAGAGCAGUGCAAGGGCCAAGACCUUCCUGGGGCUCAGCUGCCACUCUUUGGACCUUCCCCCUGUUUUCAAGGCUGGAGCAGGGUAGAAUGGCGCCUGUAUUUAGAGAACUCCAGAGAGCUGCCUUUCUGCGCGGCCCCCAGCGUGCAGUAAGCCUCAGCUGUGGCAUUUAGAAGGGCUACCUCCAGAGACCGGAUGUGUGCACACUCAGAGAGAGCAGCGAGGACCUCGCCACAUGAACCAGGAGGAUGGAUGGCGGUGGUUAGAGGAAUAUGCAAUUAUUUAACAGAGACCUGGUAAGCACACAUUGAGUGUUACUGAGGCUGGAGAGAGGGAACAUCAAGGGGACAACGGCAGGGGAAGAGACCCUUUCCUGUGAGGUCCAGAUUGUCUUUCCUGAUGGCAGAGCGAAGAAACUUCAACACCAAAAUCGCCUGUAGAGAUAGCAUGUGCUUUCCAGACCAUCUUAAACAAGAAGGUUAAGAACAAUAAACUUUAAUCCCAGCACUCAGGAGGCAGAGGCAGGCGGAUUUCUGAGUUUGAGGCCAGCCUGGUCUACAGAGUGAGUUCCAGGACAGCCAGGACUAUACAGAGAAACCCUGUCUUAAAAAACAAACAAACAAACAAAAAUAACAACAACAAAAAAACCCAAAAACAAAAACAAAAACAAAAAAACCCAAUGAACUGUGCUUCCUUGGGCCCUGAACACUUAGCACUCCUUUCUAACCCCCUCACUCUAAGCAAUGUCUCUCCUAAAAGCACUUUACAUUUUUAUUUACAAAAGGAGUUUUUUUUUUUUUUUUUUUUUUUUUUUUUUUUUAAGAUAGGAGAAACAAGUAAACAAGUUUUGCUUAGUCUUUAAUCCUCAAUGUAAACUACACUGUCAGAGCCGGGUGGGGAUGUUCGCUGAAUGUGAUAGAACACCUUUCUGCUCCCUAUGAUACUAUACGGCGUGGGGGCGGUCAAGGGUCACCAAAGCCACCUGGAGCCACUGGUUUCUCAGAUUCUUGUCUGGUCCCCAAGAAAACAAGAAGUGAGAAGAUCAAAUGUAGAUUCAUUAAGGAAAAGUGAGAGCAAUUCCAGGAAAGGGAGUAGGACCAGGAGUACCAACAUGCUGCCUGCUGGCCUGUCCCAGGGCUUGUGGUGGCCUGUCCCGGGGCUUAUGGCCACUAUUUGAUAGGGACCGAGAUAAUCUAUUGAGAUUGGCCAUCUUUGAAUGCAUGACAGCUGAUCCAGCAAGUGGCCUACAGACUUCCCUGCUCAAGUGAAGUGACCAUGUGUCACUUGCUCAGUCAGGGGAGUGGUCACGGUCCGUGUUCACUUUCAUCCUCUUUCUCCCAACUUGUUUGACUUGUUUUAUAAGCUCUUGAUCCAGUCACUUCCCUUUCUUGGUCUCAGGCUAUAUGACUAGUUUAUAGUCUCGCUCUCUACCUUACUGCCUACCUGUCUCUAGAUGACUAAGAAAAAGCCACCGAAUCUCUAUAUCUCUCUGUUUCUGUCUCUGUCUCUGUCUCUGUCUCUCUCUCUCUCUCUCUCUCUCUCUUUCACAUACACUGUAAAGAUAUCUAAGUUUGAGUCUCUUGAGAAACCCCCAACCCACAUCUUAGGUGUAUACUGGGCUUUUGAUCUGGUCAGUGGGUUUUGUUGUUGUUGGUUUUGUUUUGGUAGCAUAAUCAAGGACCUGAUGUUACCCUAGAUCCCUAAAGGGGGAGAGUUAUCUGUAAGGUACCUCAGCCCAUAAAGGUACUUGAUCUAAUGGGAAGGAAACUCCUCUGAGCUGUUGGCAGUAGUAUGAUGCACAGUCACCCUGCCUUGACUUGACACUGUUUUCCUGUAAGUACUGUGGCUGAGUCAGUGAACAACAUGUCUAAGUUGCUACCUGUAUGAAUCUUGUGUGGGACAGAAUUUCAUCAAGAAAACUAACCUGAUGGAGGGUAUCCAAUCAGAGUUGAGGGGAGAGAAGUUCUUUAAUGGAAGACCAGGAAAGACUUCUCUGGUGAGGUUCUAUCAGAGUCAAAAUCUGAAAGGAGUAAGCCAUCUACCUGAGUGGCUAGAAGAACUUUCCAA